rnacentral:rRNA from 1 species
UAGGGAAUCUUCCGCAAUGGGCGAAAGCUUGACGGAGCAACGCCGCGUGAGUGAUGAAGGUCUUCGGAUCGUAAAACUCUGUUAUUAGGGAAGAACAAAUGUGUAAGUAACUAUGCACGUCUUGACGGUACCUAAUCAGAAAGCCACGGCUAACUACGUGCCAGCAGCCGCGGUAAUACGUAGGUGGCAAGCGUUAUCCGGAAUUAUUGGGCGUAAAGCGCGCGUAGGCGGUUUUUUAAGUCUGAUGUGAAAGCCCACGGCUCAACCGUGGAGGGUCAUUGGAAACUGGAAAACUUGAGUGCAGAAGAGGAAAGUGGAAUUCCAUGGGUAGCGGUGAAAUGCGCAGAGAUAUGGAGGAACACCAGUGGCGAAGGCGACUUUCUGGUCUGUAACUGACGCUGAUGUGCGAAAGCGUGGGGAUCAAACAGG